CUGCUAAUAAUUUUACAAAAAGUCAAGUACAUCCUUCCAGAAUGUGUAUGUACUUUGCCUAUGGAGCCUUGUUUUCAUGAAUGUGGCAUGAGUUUUAGUCCAAUGUCUCAAUCAUGAAAAUGACUCUACAGCCUAUAGCCAAGGUGACAUAAUUUCUGGAAGCAUGUAAAAUACAGUAUGUUCAGUUUCCAAAAAUGUGGCUUGGUACUGUAUUUUGCCACUCACAAAGAAGUGUGUCAUUGUGGAAUAAAUCUGCAAUAAAAAAGAAUAGAUUAAUUAUACAGGUUGUACAAGAAUCCACCAGUAACAUAAUUAUAGCACAUGAUCAUUGAGGUAAACAAAAGAAUGUGACCUAACAUGGGCGUACCGGAAGGAAAAAUUUAGGGGGGCGGAAAGAAAUUUGCCCGACUG